UACAGAGGUGGCAAGCGUUGUUCGGAAUUACUGGGCGUAAAGGGCGCGUAGGCGGUUUCGUAAGUCCCGUGUGAAAGCCCCCGGCUCAACUGGGGAAUUGCACGGGAAACUGCGAGGCUUGAGUUCGGGAGAGGGAAGCGGAAUUCCGGGUGUAGCGGUGAAAUGCGUAGAUAUCCGGAGGAACACCGGUGGCGAAGGCGGCUUCCUGGACCGACACUGACGCUGAGGCGCGAAAGCUAGGGGAGCAAACAGG
rnacentral:rRNA from 1 species